rnacentral:rRNA from 1 species
AGAAGAACCACCCGAGAACAACGAUCACCACUCUAGGCGGGCCGGUUUCUUAGCCGAUCCCGUGUCCGCCGCCAUCCGUGGUUAUGCGCGCGGUCCCAGCCAACGGCCUGGCCUUGCUGGAAUCAUGCGCAUAGCUUCCGGACAUCACCAAACCACGGCACGGAAAGUGUCAAGGAACAUGCAACCGAACGGCCUGCUUCCGCCACCCCGGAGACGGUGCGUGCGCGGGAGCUGUGCUGCGAUGUAAAGUCUAAAACGACUCUCGGCAACGGAUAUCUCGGCUCUCGCAUCGAUGAAGAACGUAGCGAAAUGCGAUACUUGGUGUGAAUUGCAGAAUCCCGUGAACCAUCGAGUCUUUGAACGCAAGUUGCGCCCCAAGCCUUCUGGCCGAGGGCACGUCUGCCUGGGUGUCACAAAUCGUCGUCCCCUCAUCCACCAAGGAUAUCGGACGGAAGAUGGUCUCCCGUGUGCAACCGCACGCGGUUGGCCAAAAUCCGAGCAAGGGAUGCCUGGAGCGUCUCGACGUGCGGUGGUGAAUCGAAGACUCGUCAUACCGUCGUACGCUCCUGUCCUGAAGCUCCAGAUGACCCUGAUUUCUCAACGCGACCCCAGGUCAG